GUAAUAAUUAAUAAAUUAUAAUUAAUAAAAAAAUUUUUAAUUUUAAAUAAAUUAUUUUAAUGGGGGUUAAAGUAAAUUUAUUGAAAAAAUUAAUUAAUUUAUAGUAAAUUAGUAUUGUGAAAGAAUUUUGAAAUAAAUGAAAAAAAAAAUUGAUUAAAAGUAAAUUUAAUUUAUUGUAUCUUGUGUAUCAGAGUUUAUUAAUUAAAAAUUAUAGAUAAUUAAAAUUCUCGAAUUUAAAAGAGAUAAUUAAUUAUAAAAGUUAUUGUUGCAUAAAUAUUUUAAAUAAUUAAUUGGAAAUGAAAUGUUAUUCGUUUUUAAAUAUAUCUAGUUUUUUUAGAAAAAAAUUUAAUUUUAUAUUAUUAAAAUAAAAAAUUAAUUAAUUAAUUUUUUAUUUUAAUAAUAUUAUAUUUUAAGGGAUAAGCUUUAAUUUAAAUUUAUAUAAAUUUAUUUUAAUUUAAUUAAAAUUUUUAUAAUUUAUAUUGUUAAUAAAUUUUAAUUUAUUAUAAAUAAUUUUAUUUAAAAUAAAAUUUAAUUUAAUUUUAUAUAUUUAUAAAAAAAAAUUUUUGAAUUUUAUAAAAUUUGAUAUAAUGAUAAAAUUAGUAUAUAAUAAAUUAUAUUAGGAUUAAAAAAUUAUUUAAGUUAAUUAAAAGGAAUUCGGCAAAUAUAUAUAUUCACUUGUUUAUCAAAAACAUGUCUUUUUGAAAUUAAUAUAAAGUCUAAUCUGCCCACUGAUUUAUAUUAAAGGGCUGCAGUAUUUUGACUGUACAAAGGUAGCAUAAUCAUUAGUCAUUUAAUUGAUGACUUGUAUGAAAGAUUGGAUGAAAUAUAUACUGUCUCUUAAUUAUUUAUAGAAUUUAAUUUUUUAAUUAAAAAGUUAAAAUGUAUUAAAAAGACGAGAAGACCCUAUAGAGUUUUAUAUUUAAAUUAAUUAAGAUUAUUUAUAAAUUUAUUAAUUAAAAUUGUUUUAAAUAUUUUGUUGGGGUGACAAAAAAAUAUAAAUAACUUUUUUUAAAAUUUAACAUAUAUAAGUGAUUAAAUGAUCCAAUAUUAUUGAUUAUAAGAAAAAAUUACCUUAGGGAUAACAGCGUAAUUUUUUUUUUUAGUUCAAAUAAAAAAAAGAGUUUGCGACCUCGAUGUUGGAUUAAGAUAAAAUUUAAAUGCAGAAGUUUAAAAUUUUUGAUCUGUUCGAUCAUUAAAAUCUUACAUGAUCUGAGUUCAAACCGGUGUAAGCCAGGUUGGUUUCUAUCUUUUAAUAAAUAAAAUAUUUUAGUACGAAAGGAUUAAAUAUUUAAAUUAAAUUUAUUUAAAUUGAAUAUUAUUAAUAAAUUUUAAAUAUAUUUGUUUAUAUUAAUAU
rnacentral:rRNA from 1 species